rnacentral:lncRNA from 1 species
GGCAGAUCUUACGGUUAAAGCAGAUAAACCUCCAACUGGCCACCAAGAUCCAGCAUCUGGAAUUCAGCUGCUCCGAGAAGGAACAAGAAAUUGAGCGACUGAGCAAGCUGUUGAGACAGAACGGACUUCUUGAGGACGUGAACGUGAACUAAGCCUUCCAGAAGCUCCAUCCAGAGCUGGGCUGUGUCCAGAGAGCAACUGUGUGGUUUGAGGUCCAGUCCCCACCCAUCUCUGCCUUGGCUUGCACUCCUGGAUGCUGGGGACAAAUCUUCAUGGCCACAGCUGUCUCCUCCGUGUCCAUGCCCUACGCCUGCAGCAAAGGAAUCAUAACAACCUUUUCUCAAGCUGGACUCUGUUGCUUGGAAAUGGAGAAAGCUGGACUUGCAAACCAACUUGACACACAUCUGGGAUGGGGCUGGAGCCUGUGCCCUGUGCCAGCCCAUCCUGCAAACCCUUUCUUUACUAGACGGUCCACAGCUUCUCCUGCUGCAGUCCCUGGGGAGCCAUCAUGGUACCCAGCCCCACUGCAGCAUCCGGCUGUACCGUCAGCUUCGAACUGGCUCUGCACCCACCAGCAUCUUUCAGUUACUGUACAAUUAAUGUAUAAUAGGCUCUCCUUCCCCAGGGCUCGCCUACCACAUUCUCCUCAGUGGCAGCCCACACCAGCCCACCAGUUAUCCAGCCAGCUCACGGCAGGGCCCCAAGACUGCCCUGCAAUUAGCAUGCUCUUGGGGUACAACUCCCUUGGGGCACAUGGUUUUACACAGCCUCUUGCAGGUCUGUACUUCAGAUGCUGACGGGCGUUCUAAAGUCAGCUCCCACUAGACCAGGAAUGAUGCACCGAGGAGGCGUCCCACGCACUGCUGCAUCAGGCUUGCUCCCUCCUGUCUCCCAGAGGUGACUCCGCCUUUGACCUGUGUGUGCUGGACCAUCUGACCCAAUGC